rnacentral:lncRNA from 1 species
CAUCUCAACACUGAAUAUCUCCAUCCCAUUGCUGAAUGUCUCCACCCCACUGCUGAACAUUUCCAUCCCAGUGUUGAAUAUCUCCACCCCAGUGCUGAACAUCGCCAUCCCAGUGCUGCGUAUCUCCAUCCCAACACUGAACAUCUCCACCCCCAGUGCUGAACUUUUCCAUCCCAAUGCUGAAUAUCUCCAUCCCAAAUCUGAACAUCUCCAUCCCAUUCUGAACAUCUCCAUCCCAAUACUGAACAUCUCCAUCCCAGUGCUGAACAUCUCUAUGCCAACGCUGAAUAUUUCCAUCUCCAUUUUCUGAGAAACACCCUGCAAGAGUCUCAGGAAGGCUGAGGACCUCAUGGUGACACCCAACAAGAAUGGACACUUCCCCCAGAGAUGUUCCCUGUUAGAAACAUAUGCCCAGUGCAGAGCCCUGGGGUAAAGCCAAGGCUGUGAUGCUCCAUGUUUUCCUCCCCGCGCCUGGCAAAGCUGUGCCCUCCAUCGGCCAAACAAUCCUGCCCUGCCCCCGUGCCCUCUGGUUGCAGCAAGGCUGUAGCAAAUCCGAGCAGGGGGACAACACAGUUCAACACAGUGUAAAACAGCAGUCGGAGCACGGCGGUGCAGAGGCAGUGCCCAAAGCAAACACACUGCUGCGAAAAAAUCCUUCCCAGCUUAGUGCGCCCUUCUAAAAACACAGAGUGACUUCAGAAAAAUGUGAGAAAACAUGAGCUGCUCACCCCCAGAGGGAAAACAGAGCACAGGAGCCAUAGGAUGGAGCCUGCUGCCUGCAGCCGUGUCCCCAUGGCAGAGGAUCCUGGGGCCAUCGCGGUGCCUGGGAAGGGCUGAGCUCCCUUAAAGAGCAGUCGGAUGAUGAAUGUGGAGUUGAAAACCUCUUAGAGAAGGGAUGUGCCACAGCAGCCCGCUUCAGCUCCCUCUCCAAGAGAGAUUAUUAAUUAUAAACGUUGCAAAUCUUCGUGAUUCAUACUCAUAAUUGCAGCGUAUCCAUCACACGCUGGGAAAUCAUUAAGGGAAAGCAUGGGCUGGAGGCACGGGGCAGUUGCAGCCGUUGCUGGUGGGGAGCACGAGCAGGAAAACGUCAUGCACAGGAGGAAGAGCGGCCCCAGUGCCCCUCUUGUGCAAUGGCUCAGCAGAGGGGAGAGGCACUGGGAGGAUGCUCAGAGGGGGAAGUGGCCUCCUGAGCAGCCCCGGCUCUCCUGGGGUUUGUUGUCCCAUCUCGGGCAGUACUGCCCGCAGGGAGACCUGCAAGGCACAGCCAUUCCCAGCAGCCAGACCUGCCAGGAAGCGUUUUCCCUCAUCUCCAUCCUCAGAUCUUCAGCAUCUUCGUGCUCUUCAAAUCGUGCUGGAGAGGUUCCGGUUGGAUGCUGGGAAGCAUUGUUUUCUGAAAGAGAGGUGAUGCUCUGGCACAGCUGCCCGGGCAGUGGUGGAGGUGGAGGUGUCCCAGAGCCAUGGAGACGUGGCACUGAGGG